rnacentral:rRNA from 1 species
CCUACGGGUGGCAGCAGUGAGGAAUAUUGGUCAAUGGGCGCAAGCCUGAACCAGCGAAGUCGCGUGAGGGAUGACGGUCCUAUGGAUUGUAAAACUCUUUUGUCGGGGAGCAAGGCCCGCCACGUGUGGCGGGAAGGAGAGUACCCGAAGAAAAAGCAUCAGCUACCUCCGUGCCAGCAGCGGCGGUAAUACGGAGGAUGCGAGCGUUAUCCGGAUUUAUUGGGUUUAAAGGGUGCGUAGGCGGAAGGUUAAGUCAAGGGUGAAAUCCCCGCGCUCAACGUGGGAACUGCCUUUGAAACUGGGAAACUGGAGUGUGUGAGGGGAUAGGGGAAUUCCAGGUGUAGGAGUGAAAUCCGUAGAUAUCUGGAGGAACAUCAGUGGCGAAGGCGACUAUCUGGCACAUAACUGACGCUGAGGAGCGAAGGCGUGGGUAGCAAACAGGAUUAGAUACCCCUGUAGUC